rnacentral:rRNA from 1 species
AUUGAACGCUGGCGGCAGGCUUAACACAUGCAAGUCGAGCGGGGGAAGGUAGCUUGCUACCGGACCUAGCGGCGGACGGGUGAGUAAUGCUUAGGAAUCUGCCUAUAGUGGGGGACAACAUCUCGAAAGGGAUGCUAAUACCGCAUACGUCCUACGGGAGAAAGCAGGGGAUAUUCGGACCUUGCGCUAAUAGAUGAGCCUAAGUCGGAUUAGCUAGUUGGUGGGGGAAAGGCCUACCAAGGCGACGAUCUGUGGCGGGUGUGAGCGGAUGAACCGCCGAACUGGGGCUGGGACACGGCCCAGACUCCUACGGGAGGCAGCAGUGGGGAAUAUUGGACAAUGGGGGGAACCCUGAUUCAGCCAUGCCGCGUGUGUGAAGAAGGCCUUAUGGUUGUAAAGCACUUUAAGCGAGGAGGAGGCUACUCUAGUUAAUACCUAGGGAUAGUGGACGUUACUCGCAGAAUAAGCACCGGCUAACUCUGUGCCAGCAGCCGCCGCUG